UACGUAGGGGGCAAGCGUUGUCCGGAAUCAUUGGGCGUAAAGCGCGUGUAGGCGGCUUGGUAAGUCCGCUCUGAAAGCCCGGGGCUCAACCCCGGGAGGCGGGUGGAUACUGUCAAGCUCGAGUCCGGAAGAGGCGAGUGGAAUUCCUGGUGUAGCGGUGAAAAUGCGCAGAUAUCAGGAGGAACACCAAUGGCGAAGGCAGCUCGCUGGGACGUGACUGACGCUGAGACGCGAAAGCGUGGGGAGCAAACAGG
rnacentral:rRNA from 1 species